CGAAGAUGUAACUGUUCGAAGUGAAACCUCGCUGCAUAUUGCUGUGAAAUAUAACCAGUUUCAGGCUUUGGAGGUCUUAGUUGGAUGGCUCCAGAGAAACUGCCAAAGACACGCUCAGAACCGCGAGAGAAGGAUUCUGAACUGGCAGGACGAAGCAGGCAACACAGUUCUCCACCUUUCUGUUCUCAAAGUCUUCCCUCAGGCAGUUAAGUUGUUGUUAGAUAGCAACAUAGACAUAAAUGCCAAGAACUUUGAGGACUCGACAGCGUUGGACAUAGUAGAGAUUAACCAAACACAGGCUCAGAGUGCAGAAACCAGAGACAUGUUAGUGAGGCGUGGAGCUUUACGUGGAUUUUCACUUGCUAGCACAACACUCGUGGAAGAGCUACGAGCAAAAAUCACAUUGAAUGAGAGAAUAGCAAUAUCGGUGACUCGGCUGAGGAAGAGAAUAUCAACCGACACACGCAAUGCUUUGUUGGUGGUGGCC
rnacentral:sRNA from 1 species